rnacentral:lncRNA from 1 species
CUCUUAGCCAGCAAGCGUGGGGACCUGUGCCACGGAGACACCCAACAGGAAUCAUCAUUCCAGGCAGACACCUGGCUGCGGGAGCCACUGCCAAGUCUAGCUGUCAGGUUGGUCUCAGAGCUCUGUCUUGAUCCCCACCAGGUCGCCCAGCCUGCGAUCCCACCUGGCCUGCUCUAUCUUUCUGUGUGCUGGGGGUCAGCAGCUUUGCACGAGGUGUCCUAAGAAUUCACUCUCCCUCUGCCUCCAGCUGUUUCAUCAGUGACCCUUUGGACAGUUAGUUAUGAGUGACCUUGGACUUCAGUAUUCAAAGGUGCCCUCCUCUCUCCCUUAAGCCUUCACAGAGCCUUUCGUGCUACCCUACUGACUGGGACAUUCCAUUCUGCUUUCACCCCUCCCCCUCUACCAUCCCAAGGCUGAGUCCAGAGGGAGUGGGACAUUAAACACACCUUAAAAUUUGCUAGGAAGUUGUCAGAGGCUGCACCUGGGAAGAAAGCCACUCUGCGGAACACUCAUCCAGGCUCUCAUUUCCCAGCUUCUUGUCUGGGUUGGAAAACAAUGAGACAUCUGCCCUGAAUGCCCACCUUUUCCAUCAGUGGCAGUAGGCACAUAAGUCUUAGAUGAGGAAUCUGAGGGUCUAAGAGGAGACAUGAGCUGCUGAGAUUGACUGAGCUAGCAGGGCCAGACAUAGACUCCACGGGCAGGCCCGCAGUCUUUCCACCAGGUCAGGCCACUCCCUCGCCCAGGGCUCAAGAUUCCUUUUAGAGUUCAACAGAGCAGCUCCCGAGAACAGACCAGCCCUCAAGACUCAAAUUUCAGUGGUUUCCAGUUCUUUCUCCCUGCACUCAGCUACCUAUUUAUUUUGAGACUGGCUGAAUCACCCGAAGAAUAGAACGGGUUUCUCUGAAGCUGCUCCCGGCAGCAUGUCAGCAAAUGAACAGGACAGCGAGCUGGCCUCUGGAGCCUUGGAAGAUUCUCACCUCCAAGCAGCUGCAGUUUUUGACUCGUCCUGGGAAACUGGCACUGAGACUCAGGGGUGUAACAUUUCACCUCCCUGAAAUCAAAUCCAGAAAUCUCAGGCGAGCAGCAUAUAUAAAAAGCCACAGGGGAAAAAAGGAAUACGGACUCAGCAACUCUUAGGUGCUCUGAGCCUCUUCCCAAGCCUUCUGGUUCUGUGAGCAUUUCAUUGAAAGAAAAUGGAAUAACAGAGUUUUAGAAGAAAAACUGUAUUUGGUCUUGCAAGAGAAAAGUAUAUUCAUAUAAAACUCAGUUCUCAACUAUUUGCCAAGGUUACUUCUUUUGUUUCCAACAUUUAAAAAGGGUAUCUAGUUGUAGGUAGAGAAAACAUUAAGAUAUGUGAAUGGAAAAAGGUAAAAUUUCUAAAAGUAUGGAUUCACAGUGGGGUCUGAUUUAAAUGUUUAAAUUUUUUCUCUUUAAUUUCUUCUCACCAAUCCUGAAAGACACGACGAGAUAAUAUCUACUUUCAAUAAAUCAAUUAAUUUUAUUUAAAAUCCCUAAGAUUUUAAUAUAGUACAUGCAAAACAAUAAUAGAUUUUCUAUUUUUUAAUUAUCUAAUUAUAUUUAUAUUAUCUAAUUGACAGACUACUUAAAAAGCACAUUGAUAUAUAUUAUCUCAAUGUGUCCUCAAGAACCCUGUGCAGUAGGCAGAACUCAUAGUAUUAUUCCCAUCUUAUAGAUGACCCAGGGGAAGCUUCUAGAUGCUCAGAGCUUUGCAGGUCACACAACAGCAUAGGUGCUUCAUGUUAAGAAGCAGAACUGCAUUUUGAUAAAACCUUUAAUUGGAAAAAGAUCACCUCUCCCUCAAGGAAGUAGGGCAACAUGGUUGACAGGGUUAUGUUUCAAUGAGGAAUACAUUUGUUGAAGCCAGUUCAGUGAUGCAGUAAUUGGAAUUAAUAAUAGGUAGUAUGGAAGGAAAAGAGAAAAAGCCCUUAUUGUACUGUAUUGUGAGGGCCAAAUCUGCCAAGCUUUUUUUUUUCUUCUUUUUUUUUAAGUACUUGGCAAUGGUAAAUAUUUGGCCCCCACUUGAACAGAAUUCCAUUUGUUUCCUCUCAUAAGGUCUUUGGGACAUGGUCAAGGGGCCUACCCGUCUAGAGCAUGUGCUUUAAUAAUAGCAGCUAAUAUUUAAGGAACACUUCUGUGCCCAGCACGGUGCUAUGCCCUAACAUGAAUUAUUUUAUUCAAUCCGCACAAUAAUCCCCAACAGAGGGAUAUCAUACUCCUGGUUUUAUACCCAAGGAGGCUGAGGGUGGGGAGGUUAAUCUGAUCCCGAAGGGGAGGCCAGGCUGAAUCAGGAAGCCAGCUCUGGAGCUUCGCCAUCAGCCACUGCUCCAGCUCGCCUUUCAGGCUAUCUCUUUUAAUCCUCACAUCCCCUAGCAAGAGAGGUAUCAUGCAGUCCAUUCUACAGAUGGGAAAACUGUGAAACGCAGUUUUAGACUUGAAGCUCCAAACUCCUUUCUCGCUCACCGAGGCUACCUGAGCACCCUGGUUCACUUUAUUUUUUGAGACAGAGUCUCACUCUGUCACCCAGGCUGGAGUGCAGUGGAGCA